rnacentral:lncRNA from 1 species
GUGGGGGUGUUGGGGGUGGUGAUGGUUCCCUCGUUUUAUCAGACUCUUACCUGAGGACAAGUUCAUGGCGUUGGAGAGCAUACUGCAGGGUGAGUCGGGGCCAGGAAGAGCACAGGGGAACUUUGGUGAAUGGCUUGGUUGUGUGUGUGUGUGUGUGGUGGGCAGAGGCAGGGUGGGGGUCUGUCUGGAAUUUCACUUCCUCUCUUAAAACAACCAGAACUCCUCCUGUGCCCCUGCUUUUUUUAUGCCUCCUCUACCCUUUGGCAUACCUAACGUGCUAGGAGUAUUGGUGCCAUCCCAGUGUUUUCAGUGAGGAAGUUGAAACCAGGUCCAGGGAGGUGACUUACCCAAAGUUGUGAGAGUCAUCAGUGGAGUUGGCAAGAUCAGGGUUCUCCUGACCCUUCUCUACUUCCUAUGCCACUGCUUCCCCACCUGCAAGGGUAGAGUAUUUGGCGCGGGUCUCUGCGUCCCAUUAUGUGGGUUCACACCAUUUGACUGAUGACACAGAUCCUGUGAGCUAGGGGAAGGCACUCAGAACGAGCCCAGCACACACUGACUGGUGAGGCCUCUUCUAAAGCUGGAGGCACGAGGGCCAUUUCUGAGUGCAGAGCUUCCCUGGUUUUUGAGCAGCGCCCAUUGUGUGUCCAAAAAAUGAGCGCCAACUUGAUGCCACAAGUGGAAAAAUCAUUCCAUGAAACUUUGUUUCAUUCAUGAAAUUUUUAAAAAUCUUGUAUAGAAUCACCUUCAGGCUAUGUGUGUAAGGUGUAGGAAAUGUAAAUGAAGUUUGGUUUUAGACUUGGGUCUGUCCCCAAGAUAUUUUAUCAUGAAAUCCAGAAUAUUUGUGUCCCAAGCAUUUUGGAUAAGGGAUACUUAGCUUGUAUAUUCUGUGUGUCAUCUCAUGGGACCUGGGUUGUGCUAUCAUCAAAGCAUCAUAUUUUCUAACAAAACAUUUGGACAUUUACAUAGUUGGGAAGUGAAGACUGCAAACAGCCUCAGCACAGACUUUGCCAUUAGUUGAGUUUCCUUCAAACUUAACAAAACUAUUUUGAGCUCAUUGAGCUUUUGGAGUUCAGGAUUGUGGAGAGCCUCUGUGAUGGAGCCCUGCCCUGCCCCUGUCUUGCUGAGAGGUUGAGGGGGGUGUUGUCAUUCCUCUUUGUACAUCAGUCUCUUUGUGAGGAGGUGGCUCAAGACCAGGUUUGGGUGGCUGUCCACAUUGUGGAUUCAACCAAUCAAAACUGUUUGGGAGGAAAAUUGUGUAUAUCCUGAACAUGCCUAGGUGUUUUUUCUUUUCAGUCCCUAAGCAAUACAGUAUCACAACUAUGUAUUUUAGCAUUUGCAUUCUAUUAGCUACUCUAAGUCACUUAGAGAUUGUUUAAAAUAUUCAGGAGGACAGGUAUGGUUCCUGUGCUAGUACUACAUCAUUUUAUAGAAGGGAUGUGAGCAAUUAUGGAUUUGGGUGUCCACAGGGAGUCCUGGAACCAAUCCCCCAUGGAUACCAUCAGAUAACCCUGCUGGACUGUGGUUUGUUGUUGGAAAUCCUUCUUUGGUGUAUCCUUGGUGUUUCCCUGUGCUUGGGUACCUCAUGCCUUUGUUCCUAGAAAGUUCCACUGGUCCUAUGGGGUCUUUUAGUGUUGCUUCUACCCGUUCUGCCCUUCUUCCUGUGUCCUGGUUGGCUUUCAACACCAGCCCCUCGGCCCUUGUCUUUAGCUCUUUGGGGAAAUGGCUUAUACCUGGUUUGGCUCAGAGUCUGGCUCAGGACUGGGCACGGUGGCUCUUUGCAUUCAUGGAUUCAACCAACUGGAUCAAAAAUAAUUAGGAAAAAGAUUAUGUAUCUUACUGAACACACCUAGACUUUUUUCCUUUUCCAUGUUCCCUAAGCACUGCAGGAUAACAACCAUACACACAGCAUUUACAUUUUAGUGGCCAUUACAAGUCACCUAGAGGUGGUUUAGACUCCACAGGAGGAUGUGCAGAGGUUCUGUGCAAAUACCAUGCUGUUUUUUAGAAGGGACCUGAACAUAGAUUUUGGAAACCCUGACUUCUGGGCUGGACUUAUCGUCCUGUCCCAAAUCCAGCCCACAUGAGUGAUCUGAGAAGCAGAUCCCUUGGAUGCCCAGAAUGGCAGGUGUGGAGAGAAUACACUCAGGGGUGGUGAGGAAGAAGACAGGCGAGGAACCCAGGGAGCACAGGUGGAUGGCACGCGUGUGCAUGUGCAUGAUGCGAUGCACAUUGGCUUGUGACAAGGACCUCAUAGCGAGGGCUUAGGCAAGAUGAAAUGGAAGACCCUUGAGAAGCAGGGGAAAAAAAAGAUUUAAUUCCCAUGUGAGAAAGAGCUGCCUAGAAGUGUGUGUACUGCCCAUCAGUCAAGAUUCAGGCCAGGUUAGGUUCACAGAAGGAGAAAAACCCAUGGGGCUGAUGACCAGGCAUGAAGUGCUACACACACAGGCUGCUGAGCACACUGGAAAUGGAAGGAUCUGGCGAGGUGUCCAGCUCCAGUGGGGAGCUGAGUGACCUUGGGUGAGUCUCCUCUCUGGCCUCAGGCUCCCCCUUACGUGUAACCUGAGGCUUGGAACGCUCACUGUUAUUCCUGUAGUCCAGCUACUUGGGAGGAUCACUUGAGCCCAGGACACUUGAACAAUGUAGACCCCCCCUCUCAAGAUGAUGAUGAUGAUGAUGAUGAUAAUGGCAGUUGUUUGGUUAUGUAGUGCAGCAUAACAGAUGCUGCAACAUUCAGAGGCUUCAGACCACAAGUAUUUGGUCACAUCUCUGUGGGCUGGCAAACUGGAUAGGGUGCAGUAGGGACAGGGCACAUGGUGUCCAUUGGGGUGGGUCAGGGGACUUGUCAACUCAUACAUCUGGCACUUGGCCAUGUUGGACCAGCCUGGCCGGAUUGGUGCUCCAAAACUGCAAAAGCAGAAGCUGCCAGGCCACCUCUUCCUUUUUAUCAUUUUUUUUCUUUGACAGUUUUAAUGAGGUAAAAUUCACAUGUAGUUCACCUGUUUAAAAGUGCAUAUUUCAGUUAUUUUUGGGUACAUUUACGAUGAUGGGCAACCGUUACUAUGAUAAAUCCAGAACAUUUUUAUGACGUCCCACCCAAAGAAACCCUUAGCCUAUUGGCAGUCACUCCCAGUUUGCUUUCCCAAAUUCCUGGCAAUUGCUGAUCUGCUUUAUGUCUCUAUGGAUUUGCCUGUUCUGGACAUUUCUACAGAUGGAAUCAUACACUUUAUGACCUUUUGUGUCUGGCUUCUUUCACUCAGCAUCAUGUUUUUAAGAUUCAUCCAAAUUGUGGUCUGUAUCAGUGCUUUAUUCCUUUUUAUGGGCCAAAUAAUAUUCCAUGGUGUGAAUGUGUAGACAUUUACUCAUUAAUCUGUUCAUGGGCAUUGGGGAUAUUUGCACUUGGUGGCUAUUAUGAAUAGUGCUGCUGUGAACAUGUACACACACCAGUUUUUAUGUGAAUGUUCAUUUUCAGUUUUCUUGGGAGAGAUUUCUAGGAAUGAAAUUAUGAGUCACAUGGUAACUGCCAGACCUUCUUAAGGUUUUAACCUGGACCAAGCAGAGUAUGGUGUGUGCUGCAUUCUCUUGACUAAAGGGAGUCACAUGCCCAGUCCGGAGUUGAGGGGGUCUGAUAAAAGGACCUACUUAUCCAGAGUGGUUUCAUCAGGGUCUUCAUGUAAAGUCCUUACCAUGGACCUUAAGGCAGUAUAGGUGCUCAAUAAAUGUAAUUCCCUGUUGUUACUCCUUUUCACUAAAAAUAAUGAUACCAGACUGGGGCAGUGAGGCAAAAAUAAACUGUGGGACUUAGAUCUUCAUCCAUUAGUCGCCAGCCUGAGAGCAAAUCCAUCACCAGUGUCUCAGGGAUUAUGGGCUCACUGCAGAUUAGCCAGUGACAAUGAUCAGGCAGGCAGUGAGAACUGUAAAGGCUUCUGAAGAUGGGAACUAUCCCAGCACUUAACAAGAUGGCUAGAAGGCAGUACAUGUUCCUUCUAGAAAAUAGGAUAUUCCAGGGAAAAGUGUAAGAGAAAAAUUUGUCUGUCCUUCUAUUUAUCAGAGAGAACUAUUCGUUUAUAAAACCAAAGGAAAGAGGAUC